rnacentral:lncRNA from 1 species
CAGAAUGCAUCAAUAACUGUUUACUCCAAGAGGGAGACAUUGUACAAUAGGCUAGGAGAAGUAGAUUUGUAGUUCUCUUACUGCCUGGGCUUGAGGUAAAGCUUUGGUCAUACCAGACGAAUGAAACAUCCUUUUUAUGUAGAUUGAAGACCAAAUGUUUCUUCCAAAAUACCAUUUAGUUAAGUGCCAUCUUACAUGUGGUGCCUGACAAAUUCUGAAGAUGAACCAGCAUUGCUGGGGGAGUUGACUCACUCGUUUAAAAUCAACAUUUACUUACUGUUGUCCAAUCCAAGUAUCAUAGAUUCUCUUUUGAAACUGAAAUUUUAAAACGUUUAUAUACUAAGUGGAGGCUGAAGCUUGCAAUGUCUUAACACGCUUUAACUAAGUUUUUGGUGGGUGGGAGGGUGUUUUCUAUAUUUAAGAAAAACUGAGUUACGGAUGAAAUGCUAUUUGAGACACUUAAUCUCCCUAAAAUUGUGCCAGAAUUUGAUAGAGGAAUCCGGGGGAGCUGGUGCACUCUGACUGUCAGGGUGAGUGCACCCUCUGCUGGCAAGAAGUAGUUCUGCACCUUCUCUUUCUUAGUCUUGCAUCCUUUCCUCCAUCAAACAGCUAAUCUGAAAAAGAACUCUAAAACAGCAUUUUUAGUGUAUUGACACUACUGUAAGGAACAUAAAAAAGGGGGGAAGUAGAAGUAAAUUUGGGAAGGAAAGAAAAAAGACACCAUGAUUUCAGACACAAUCUGACUUUGAGGGCUACUUCCAGGAGGGGUGGGACUAAUGUUUCCAAUCCACCUUUGUUAAUUAAUCCAGGUAACCUCAAGUCUGAGCUUUAAAUCACUUACUAUGAAAGGUUUUUUAAAAUUUCCCUUUGUUUCUUCUCAUAGAGGAUCUAAGUUUAUUGUUAAAGUUGAUUGUGGUGAACUUUAUUGAAGUGAUAUAUAAAAUACCUACUUUUUGCCCAGCCUUGGGCAAACUGAAAGAUUUUAGCUCUCAAAAAAAAAAAAAAAAUAGCCCUGGUAUCAAUCAAUCAACUAAUCAACCAAUCAGUACUUCUGAGGCAGGUUAAAUAAGAUAAAUACUAAGCCAAUUCCUGGCAAAAGAAAAAAGUUAAGAUAUCAGGCUUUUGAAUGUUAGUCCAGGAAAUUAAACAGUUCAGAUAUUCAACUUCAUUGUAUUUUGUAUUUCUUGAGAUUCAGGUCAAUUAAUUAUUACACUUUUGAAAGUUUUGAUUUAGUCUUCCAUGGCUACAUACAUUGCUGAUGGGAAAAGGAAGACCUGCUGGGUGGGAGAUGGUGGGGGACAAAGGUCAGCUGAGGACCACAGACCUUUGAGGUCCAGAACCUUCUCUAAUGGGAUAGGCUGACUCAUAAGAAGGAGGAACUCCUUCUGUGAAGUGGUGACCCAGGGGCGGGACUCAUCCACUGUUUUUCUUUCUUUCUUUUCUUUUCUUUUUUUUUUCAGUGCCUCAAUUCAAUGAUAUUAUAGAUGACAAUUCAAAAUGGCCAAGUCAUAUUAAUGACUGAUCCACAAGUAACUCAGGGUGACAUCUGGCUUAGUCCUCAGAGGUGAGGCUGCUCCCUGACUGGAGGAGGCAGAGAACAGUGUGACAGGGGAGGGGGCAGGGUAGCUUUCCAGCCACCUCUGCCCAGGCUGCACCUUGAUGGUUUUGUUUGAAGCUUAAAUUUCCAAAUAAUCAGAGCUAAUACUUAAUUACAGAUUCAAGACAUCAACUGGAAUUGAGCAGAAAUGAAAGUAAAGUUAAUUAGACAUUGUGUCCAACUCAAGAUCAAAUAAUGGAGUGUUAUCUAAAUUGUCAAAUCCCAAACACAUUGGGCAAAGCCCUGAAUAUUGUUGCUCAUUAUUGUAUUGUAGAUUUAUGUGGGAAGCAGUUCUUGCACAUGAUUUGAGCUACCUCUCUGGCUGGGUGUGAGGCGCUUAGACACACUGUGUCAGAGCCUUCCCCACACUGCCCCAGGUGCAAGGGCUUGUCCGUGUGGGGGUGUGACUGACCACUGACCUAAAAAACCAAUCACUGACCCCGACCUUGGAAUGCUGCCCCCUCGACCUUCAUUGGAUGGAAUUUUCCCCUGAAUUUUUUGUUCCCCAAUAAAAGCUCACUCCCUGGCAUGCUUCUCUCUCUCUUGCUGGUCUCUUGUGUAAACCUCGCUACGGCAUCAGGUGGCUGGAGGCAAGAGCUGGGAGAAGCCAUCUCUGAACUGGGCAAGAAAAAGGUAAAUUGAGAGUUAUGUGUCUUUAAUUUGAACUCACUAGUUAAUUUCUAUGUUGCGAACCUCUAAUAUGAAGCUAGCGUGCUGGUCGAGUGGCUGAGAUUUAGUCUAGCUCAAGG